rnacentral:rRNA from 1 species
GGCGGCUGCCUUACACAUGCAAGUCGAACGGCAGCACGGGUGCUUGCACCUGGUGGCGAGUGGCGAACGGGUGAGUAAUACAUCGGAACAUGUCCURUAGUGGGGGAUAGCCCGGCGAAAGCCGGAUUAAUACCGCAUACGAUCUACGGAUGAAAGCGGGGGACCUUCGGGCCUCGCGCUAUAGGGUUGGCCGAUGGCUGAUUAGCUAGUUGGUGGGGUAAAGGCCUACCAAGGCGACGAUCAGUAGCUGGUCUGAGAGGACGACCAGCCACACUGGGACUGAGACACGGCCCAGACUCCUACGGGAGGCAGCAGUGGGGAAUUUUGGACAAUGGGCGAAAGCCUGAUCCAGCAAUGCCGCGUGUGUGAAGAAGGCCUUCGGGUUGUAAAGCACUUUUGUCCGGAAAGAAAUCCUUGGCUCUAAUACAGUCGGGGGAUGACGGUACCGGAAGAAUAAGCACCGGCWAACUACGUGCCAGCAGCCGSRRGUAAUACA